rnacentral:rRNA from 1 species
CCUACGGGAGGCAGCAGUGAGGAAUAUUGGUCAAUGGACGAGAGUCUGAACCAGCCAAGUAGCGUGAAGGAUGACUGCCCUAUGGGUUGUAAACUUCUUUUAUAUGGGAAUAAAAUGUUCCACGUGUGGGAUUUUGUAUGUACCAUAUGAAUAAGGAUCGGCUAACUCCGUGCCAGCAGCCGCGGUAAUACGGAGGAUCCGAGCGUUACCCGGAUUUAUUGGGUUUAAAGGGAGCGUAGGUGGAUUGUUAAGUCAGUUGUGAAAGUUUGCGGCUCAACCGUAAAAUUGCAGUUGAAACUGGCAGUCUUGAGUACAGUAGAGGUGGGCGGAAUUCGUGGUGUAGCGGUGAAAUGCUUAGAUAUCACGAAGAACUCCGAUUGCGAAGGCAGUUCACUGGACUGCAACUGACACUGAGGCUCGAAAGUGUGGGUAUCAAACAGGAUUAGAUACCCCUGUAGUC